UAUUUGCAGGAAGGUAUUUCUGUCUGUACCCCCUGCAGAGAUGCAAUGUAAGAAGCGUUUGGCUUUUGUUCAGCAGCUUCAAGUAUACAGACACUAAAGUGGAAAAAAACAUCACUAGAAAUACUGUGUAACUGGUUGGCAUCUUUGCCUUCCACAUUUCCUAAGGACACUUCGCCAUGGUUGCUUUUGUGAUGAAGAAGCAUUUGAAUACUCAUUUACUGGGCAAGCAUGGAGUUGGCACACCCAAAGAAAGACCUACCAGGAGGAAGAUGAGGAUGCAGGACAGGGAGCUGAACAUUUACAGCUCAAAUCCCAGGCAAAGACAAUUUCUAGGAACCCUGCUGUAAGACUUUGCUUUGGGGCUUUGUAACUGGAAGUAACUUUUUUCCCCUCUCAUUUAUUGUUGAUUUUUACUGUUCUGUAUAUGCUUUGUUCCUAAAACCGGUUGGGGAAAUUAGAGUCAUCUAUAGAAAAAGAUCCAUGGGUUUAUUGUAUUACUUAAAGAAGCGGCAUUUUUUUCUUUGUUUCAAAUUUUGCUACUACUCUGCUGUGGCAACUAAUUUGUUUUAUUUCCCCCAAAGACUGGCAGCACAAAAGACUUGCAGCGCCUCUAUUUAUUGUAUACUGUUUGAGUUUAUAAUAUUUUUCUAUAUAUACUUGUAAAUUAAAAUGAUUUAAAAAAUUCACAUUAGGUCUAAGGGCACAGUGAUUUUUUACAUUUGCUAUGUUUUCAAAGGAAUUAAAAUAUAACAGUGCAGUUAACAUCAAAUCAUAAUGAUAAUUUGUUAGUUAAAGGCUAUUUCAGUCUAUAAAACUUUGAUUACUUGGAAUUUAGCUGCGGUUUUAUGAGUUUUCCCAUAUGAUUGCCCACAAAUUUUUAUGUUGACUAAAUUGUAAAUUGUUUAAACUGUUCAAACAAAUUACUUAGCAAUUAAACCUUCAGCAAAAUUGUAAUUCAUUUUAAAUUUAGCACAGAGGUUUGAUGCUCUUUACUGAGGAAAAUAACUGAACAAAAUAGUGAAAUAUGUAAAUUCUGAAUCCUACAUGAACAGUCCCCCAUAGGACAAAACAUUCCCAACACUGUGGGUAUAGGAAAGCCUUCCAGUAAUGUGAAUUAAUUUUGCAGUAAAGGGUAGCUUGAGGAAAUUCCUGCUGCUGAAUAUCAUCCAGAUUUUAUGAUUUCAAAAUUUUUUCCCCACAGGGUGUUUUCUGUCUAAUUUUUAACACCUGAAGUCUUAAUAUUUAACCAUAAAGGAAUCAAUUGGAUGCAUAAUUCUUCUGUGUACCUAAGUGUGCCAGCAAAGUAACUGCAGGUGGAAAGAAUAGAACGCUUCAAGAAAAAAUAAAAAGGACGUAUUAAAUUAUUAAGUUUAUAAUUAACACUUAAACAACAAAAAAACUCAUUGCUAUCUCUGUUGUGUGUACGUAGUUGUGUAGAUUGCUUCGUAUACAAUGAUGGUUAGAUUCACUACCUUUAGAGCUAUAAAACAAAUAGAAGUGUAAACACAGAGCAGAUGCAUGAUUUUACAGAAGAAAACCUUACUCCCACUUAUCGUAUUUGAACUGCUUGUGUUUGUACACCUGUGGCUCAAUGGCAAUACACUUCAUAAACUGAAUUCUUGUUUUUGUGCCACUUACAGUGCUCAUUGUAGAGAAAUAAAGAUCAUUUCUAGAAUUCCAGAUCAUGGCCUUAUUUUUGUUGAUUGCCAUUGCUUGGUAUACUGUGUGCUCAAGCACAGUACAAUCAAGAUCAAGAAAAAGGUCCUCCUGGUGGUUUCUGAAAAUUCUAUACCAGGUCUCCAUCAACAAGCCAUCGUUGUGUAAGGUUUGCAUGGAGAUAACAUAGUGCUGUCAAUGGACAUCUCAGAACCUCAUGCAGGAAAUCAUUACCAUUUGUGAUUAAAGCAGCAGAGUGGCCCAGCUUCUGACACAUUAAACUGGCUUCUAUUCUGCUGUUAACUGAAAAAGGAAAAUAGUUGAAUCUGGUUUUAAAGUCACUCUUAACCAUUUAUAGCUAUAUUUGACUUCAUCAGUCAUGGACAAAGUCCUAUGAGGGAAUAAUAUUUUACUUCUACAACAAGGGAAUCCUAUAUUCCAUGAAUUUUAAGUUCCUUGCAAACAACUGUAUGUUAAUAAUAAAAAAGUGAUGUAGAACCAGUUUCUCAGACCACUGAGGUUUUUUUUUGUUUACGUAUUAGUUGACAUUUUGGCUUGGCAGGUCCGUUAGUGUUAGAGAGAACAUGAGGACAGACUGCAUAGAGGUCCUAGCACAAACUGAUUACUUUAUUAAUUGUUUUGAUUUACAGGUUGUGUAUAGCAAGUGCUUAUGCACAGAGUUACCUAAGAACCCACUUAUAUUUUUCUAAAGGAAAGAAAAACAUGAAAAUAUUUCCUAUCAUCUUGAAUCUCUAAAAUGUCUCAUAGUUCGUAUUUCAUAAAGUCACACAUCUGAGAAGUUGGCUUUUGCAAAACAAGCUCUCUGAUUAUCUGAUAUCCUCCGGAAGGUUAGGAGAGUUGUUUCCUAUAUUACUUAGGAAAAAAUUUCUUUUUACAAUUGAAAAUGUCAGCAUCAAUUUAAAGUAACACUAAGCAUGUGCUUGCUUUCUGAAUAUUAUCCUCCUCCACCUCCCCUCCAACCACCCUGCUGAGGAUCUGAGUGUGACAGUUUGAUUAGAUCAUCAAUCCUUACUGUUAACAGCACUUUUCCUGAACACCUGGGUUGCUAGGUCACAUCUGAGUUUAGCUACCGUUGUUUUAGUGACCUAACGUGCAUUCACCAUAGCAAUUUACAUUUGGUCCUCAAAUUAAAAGUUACCUUAGAACAACAGUUUGCUUUAAAAUGAACUUUGUUCUCAUGUGGAAAUUAUACUAUACGAUGUGAUAAAAACGAUAAACAAUGAAAAAGAUUUCUGUAUUUCAGUCAGUUACCUACAUUUACAGAGCUUUCACAUGAGCCUGUUUAGUCGAAGCCUCAGAACCAAAGCUUUAAUUACGAAUAUCUUAUGAACAUAAAUUUAAAUAUCUACCUAAUUCUCCAUCCGUCCAGAAGAAUGCUACUUAGCUUUAUAUUUCUCAUUUUGAAUUAACUGAAUUAUUCCAUAUUAAAUUAAAUCAAAUUUGUCAUAAACAUAAAGUCUUUGUACUUUUUCUUUCCUAAGAUCUACUCUUCCCUUGUUGGUACAAUCUGAUUCCUAUUUUCCCAUUUAUAGGGAAAAUAGCAGAAGUAAAUACCUACCAACAAUUUCAAUGAAAAUUGUUGAGCAUCAGACUGCAACAUGAGCAUACUAAUAAAUGUAGUCCUUACCAGCUUUUCCGGAUGCUACAGUGAUCCUUUGUUUUUCCUCUGAACUUUCCUUUGCUGUAGUGUGAAAUAUAGGAGAUGUAUUAACGUAUCAGAGCAAAAUUCAUGAAGCAAUUAGUUUAAAGUCAGUUUUGGCAGCUCCUUCUGUUUUUGAGGAAUUGAGUAAAAAUUAAAGUAAAUAAAUGAAAUGAGAAACACUGAAACACUGGAAUAACUCUUCAAUAGUAUACUGAAUAGUAAAAAACUACUGAUCAAUGCAAAUGUUUUGCUUAAUGGUAGAUAAGUAAGAUGGUUACAUUUAAUUUAAGAAUGUAUAUGAAAGUAAACUUUCUUCAUAUAACUUGUGUUAUAAUCAUUUAAGGGCAAGAUGCACGCUUCCUAGUUGUGCAUCUAUGGGAUUAGAUACCAAGUAGUUAUUUUUAAGAAGUUGGUCAGGCAUUAAGCAGAGAUCUGAAUUUUAACAUAAAACUACUAAGUUUCAGCUGUAUAAUACUGUUUUUUUUUUUCCCUCCUGUGGCAAGUCAGAUCAAAAUUAAUAAUGCAAUUACACAUUCUGGGCUGUUCAGCUGCCCAGUUAAAGCAGUAGAAAAUAUUAUUUGGAUCAGAACCAUAAAUGAAUCAUAAGUUUGCUUUUUAAACAAAAGUUCAGUUAGACAGGGUACUAAAAAAUAUAUUUUUAUAUAUACGAUACUAUACUUCAGGAGUGUUUACUGUGCCCUCUGAAAGACAGAUCCUACGGAAAGUGCCUGCUUCUGUUAAUCCACAGUCAGAACAUAUGCCAUAGUGGCUUCUGAAAAUUUAUGGUGAGAAUAAAGUACAGAACAUCCAUGCAAGACUAAAAAUUCUGUGGUACAUACUGUACAUUAUUUUCAAUACUAAUUCACAGCACAUGGUAAAAAGGCAUUUAGAAUGCAGAAAGUGCUGUUCAGUGUUCCACCAGAGUAACAGAAUAUAUGGUUAGUAACACGUUUGCAGGAGAAGUUACCAUAAAAUGAUUAUCAUAACAAAGAAUUCACUCCAACAGCAAUUCCUUAUCAAUGAUAUUAUGGAGAUAGAAAAUACCAGACCUUAAUAAAAGCAUGUUUGAUAUAUUCCUUGGAAAUAUGUGGGGAAAAAAUGUAACUUGUAAGAUUUGAUAUUCAUUUAUAUAUAUGUUUGUAUAUCUGUCAAUACUGGUGGAAUCUAUCAGUUAUAACCAUCUGAAUGCAUGCAAUUAGAAAACUGAAUUCUGAAACUUUUGGAGGCAGCUUUCACAUUCUCCGUGUUUGUUCACAAGCAUUUAUUUGUUUGUUUGUUUGAGACUGAGAUUGAAGUGCAACAACAUGAUAUUUUUUCCAUUUUAUUUGUGUUUUUUUUCCUUUCAUUGUUAUUUUUCCCAACCAGAGGAUAAGAUUUGGCCAUAAUCAUCAUUAUUAGUAUUUAUAUUGUUUUGUUUGGGUGGAGAGUGGGUGCCUUGAAUUACCAAUUCAAGCAAUUAUCAAUUUGCAAUUGCUUAUGGAGACUUUGUAGAUGAAAAAUAUUCUUUGGUUUACACUUGUUUUCUUAAACCCAAUUGUCUUGUUGUGAAUUCUGUUCCUACUGAA